GACCGCACGGGAUAAUCGAUUAUCCCGUGUGGUCUAAUUAACACGACCGCACGAGAAUAAUUGAUUAUCCCGUGCGGUU
rnacentral:pre_miRNA from 11 species